UUUAUCAUCUCCUUCUCACGUUCUGCUUGGCAGACAAGAUCCAAACCCUGAUUCCCGUCUUGCCGCCGUCUUCUACUAUUUCAGUCUGGCGUGGACUCCUGCGACCGGCGAACUGGUCACUGGGGCUUGCCGGCGAAUGGGGUGGCGAGCGGCCGGCAAGAGUGUAACGCCGCUGAGAGGCCAGAGGCUGUUCAUGGCUCCUGGGCUCGUCUCGUCGCGGCCGGGCAGGCGACGCCGGCGCCGCGCGCAGAGAUCCGGGCCCCUGCAGCAAGCUAAACCAAGUUUUGAAACUGGAGCAGCGAACAAUUCUAAAGUCGCUUUAGGCUCUUGGUUGCAUCUAAUAUUGACAUCCAUUGUUUCCAGUAGAUUACCAGGACAGGCCAUCUCAAUGUAGUUUGGUAGAUUUGUACUCUCAUUGAAAAAUGGGUCAGUUGGCCUUCUCCCAGUUAGCAUCUCCAACAAUAGCACACCAUAGCUGUACACGUCACCUUCUACAGAUAUUUCUGUCCCCAUGCCAUACUCUGGUAAAGGAAGGAAAGGAAAGGGCUUGUGUUAGUUUUCUUAUAAACUGUAUGGUAUAAAUAUAAUCCAUUCCACUCACAUUCCUUAGUUGUUUACAUAUAGUAGUUGGCUGUAUUCUUGGCACAACAAAUUAUUGUAAGUGGACAAAUAUAUAUUUUUCAGAUUCUCAUUUUACCACUAGAGGAUGGCAUGAAGGAUACACAGGAAAUCCGCUCUUUUUUAAAUUAUGAAACCAUAAGAAUUGGAGGCUUAAAGCUUCUUAUAAUUACUAAAAAGAAUCAUGAACACUUGUUCAGGGAAAUUUACUGAUUUUUUAGACAAUGUUACUGACUGUUGAGUCAACAAUAACAAUGUACGGUGGAGCCAAGCGGCUGCCAGGGGAGGAACAAAUGUGAGGUUACCAUUUCUUUUAUCUACAUGUUAAUAAAGUCUUGCAUAAAUAUCUUUAAGCAAUUACUGAAAAUGUGGAGUAAGAAGGAAACAACAUACCUGGUGCAAG